AAGUACACAUUAAUUAAAAAUUAAAAUCAAACUUAUUAGCUGAUCUCACACAAUCGGAUGGAGAUGAUAAUGUAUCAGUCGCUGAAGAUAUUGUUCACCCCGUUGUAAAUUUUGCUGAUCUCACACAAUCGGAUGGAGAUGAUAAUGUAUCAGUCGCUGAAGAUAUUGUUCACCCCGUUGUAAAUUUUGCUGAUCCCACACAAUAUGAUGGAGAUGAUAGUGUAUCAGGCACUGAAGACAAUAAUCAAGUAGCUGUGGAUUCUGAUGGUAGUGGAGAUUUAUUUAUUACCAGCCAUGUGCAAGCUGUGAUAAGUAAUUCACCUGCACAGGCUGAUUAUAAGACAUUUUCAUACGAUUAAUUUCAGCGAUUCUCAAACUAUGGUACGCAGAAAGCUACAUGGUGGUAUGUGGGAGUGGGUGGGUCAACAUCAAACUUUGAAAGCUCAUUUCCGAGCUUUGGAUGACUCGCAUAUUUCAGGACCAAGCUUGAAAAUUUACGCUAAUGAAAACCAUGCUUUUGACACCAAUCUUGACUAAAUCAGCUGAAUUAGGUGGGCUACAUGAAGUUGGCCCACUCUCCAGUAGAUUAUGUA